CAGUCGAACGAACUCUGGUAUUGAUUGGUGCUUGCAUCAUGAUUUACAUUUGAGUGAGUGGCGAACUGGUGAGUAACACGUGGGAAACCUGCCCAGAAGCGGGGGAUAACACCUGGAAACAGAUGCUAAUACCGCAUAACAACUUGGACCGCAUGGUCCGAGUUUGAAAGAUGGCUUCGGCUAUCACUUUUGGAUGGUCCCGCGGCGUAUUAGCUAGAUGGUGAGGUAACGGCUCACCAUGGCAAUGAUACGUAGCCGACCUGAGAGGGUAAUCGGCCACAUUGGGACUGAGACACGGCCCAAACUCCUACGGGAGGCAGCAGUAGGGAAUCUUCCACAAUGGACGAAAGUCUGAUGGAGCAACGCCGCGUGAGUGAAGAAGGGUUUCGGCUCGUAAAACUCUGUUGUUAAAGAAGAACAUAUCUGAGAGUAACUGUUCAGGUAUUGACGGUAUUUAACCAGAAAGCCACGGCUAACUACGUGCCAGCAGCCGCGGUAAUACGUAGGUGGCAAGCGUUGUCCGGAUUUAUUGGGCGUAAAGCGAGCGCAGGCGGUUUUUUAAGUCUGAUGUGAAAGCCUUCGGCUCAACCGAAGAAGUGCAUCGGAAACUGGGAAACUUGAGUGCAGAAGAGGACAGUGGAACUCCAUGUGUAGCGGUGAAAUGCGUAGAUAUAUGGAAGAACACCAGUGGCGAAGGCGGCUGUCUGGUCUGUAACUGACGCUGAGGCUCGAAAGUAUGGGUAGCAAACAGGAUUAGAUACCCUGGUAGUCCAUACCGUAAACGAUGAAUGCUAAGUGUUGGAGGGUUUCCGCCCUUCAGUGCUGCAGCUAACGCAUUAAGCAUUCCGCCUGGGGAGUACGGCCGCAAGGCUGAAACUCAAAGGAAUUGACGGGGGCCCGCACAAGCGGUGGAGCAUGUGGUUUAAUUCGAAGCUACGCGAAGAACCUUACCAGGUCUUGACAUACUAUGCAAAUCUAAGAGAUUAGACGUUCCCUUCGGGGACAUGGAUACAGGUGGUGCAUGGUUGUCGUCAGCUCGUGUCGUGAGAUGUUGGGUUAAGUCCCGCAACGAGCGCAACCCUUAUUAUCAGUUGCCAGCAUUAAGUUGGGCACUCUGGUGAGACUGCCGGUGACAAACCGGAGGAAGGUGGGGAUGACGUCAAAUCAUCAUGCCCCUUAUGACCUGGGCUACACACGUGCUACAAUGGAUGGUACAACGAGUUGCGAACUCGCGAGAGUAAGCUAAUCUCUUAAAGCCAUUCUCAGUUCGGAUUGUAGGCUGCAACUCGCCUACAUGAAGUCGGAAUCGCUAGUAAUCGCGGAUCAGCAUGCCGCGGUGAAUACGUUCCCGGGCCUUGUACACACCGCCCGUCACACCAUGAGAGUUUGUAACACCCAAAGUCGGUGGG
rnacentral:rRNA from 2 species